rnacentral:rRNA from 1 species
AUUGAACGCUGGCGGCAUGCCUAACACAUGCAAGUCGAACGAGUGGCGGACGGGUGAGUAAUGUAUGGGAAACUGCCUGAUGGAGGGGGAUAACUACUGGAAACGGUGGCUACUACCGCAUACGCUCAGCUGGGCCCAGAUGGGAUUAGCUAGUUGGUGGGGUAACGGCUCACAAAGGCGACGAUCCCCAGCUGGUCCGAGAGGAUGACCAGCCACACUGGGACUGAGACACGGUCCAGACGCCUACGGGAGGCAGCAGUUGGGAAUCUUGGGCAAUGGGCGCAAGCCUGAUGCAGCCAUGCCGCGUGUAUGAAGAAGGUCUUCGGUUUGUAAAGUACUUUCAGCGGGGAGGCGUUACCCACCGAAGAAGCACCGGCUAACUCCGUGCCAGCAGCCGCGGUAAUUC